rnacentral:tRNA from 2 species
AGGGGCUUAGGUUAGCAUUCAAACCAAGAGCCUUCAAAGCUCUAAACGGGGGUGAAAAUCCCCCAGCCCCUG